AACUAGCCUGCGUUAGGGAUUGAUGCGGCAUCCUUUUUUUUACUUCUAACCAAACCAUGAUUAAAAAGAAGUAAACCUCAAUGUUAAAGUUUAAAUUACUUAAACAAAACCAACCUUAAAAAAGAUAUAGCGGAAAGCCCGACCCUUU
rnacentral:sRNA from 2 species